CCUACGGGGGGCAGCAGUGGGGAAUAUUGCACAAUGGGCGCAAGCCUGAUGCAGCCAUGCCGCGUGUGUAAAGAAGGCCUUCGGGUUGUAAAGCACUUUCAGCGGGGAGGAAGGCGGUGAGGUUAAUAACCUCAUCGAUUGACGUUACCCGCAGAAGAAGCACCGGCUAACUCCGUGCCAGCAGCCGCGGUAAUACGGAGGGUGCAAGCGUUAAUCGGAAUUACUGGGCGUAAAGCGCACGCAGGCGGUCUGUCAAGUCGGAUGUGAAAUCCCCGGGCUCAACCUGGGAACUGCAUUCGAAACUGGCAGGCUAGAGUCUUGUAGAGGGGGGUAGAAUUCCAGGUGUAGCGGUGAAAUGCGUAGAGAUCUGGAGGAAUACCGGUGGCGAAGGCGGCCCCCUGGACAAAGACUGACGCUCAGGUGCGAAAGCGUGGGGAGCAAACAGGAUUAGAUACCCGAGUAGUC
rnacentral:rRNA from 1 species